rnacentral:lncRNA from 1 species
CCUUCUUUGGUGAAAUGUCUAUUCAAAUGAUUUGCUGGUUAUCUUUUUAUACCUUCUUCAACACAGGAAUCCUCCAUGGGGAUAGGGAUAAUAUUUUAUACUUCUUUGGAUCCCAAAUACUUGCCUGGUACAUCAUAAGGUCAUUUGCGUAUUGGUGUCCCAAAUGCCCAAAAGGGUGAUGAUAAUUUCAUAUGUUAAAUGUAAAAAAAACUAUAUUUUAUCUUAUUGGUUCACAACCCCAAAUGUCUAUAGUCACCGCACUGGUAAUGUAAAUGCAUAACUUGGGGAGACUUUAAGGAAAUAGGGAGUGAUGAAGAGGGCAAGCCCUCCUUUACAAAGACAUCUAUGUUCAUUAAAAAUAAUCACUGUGCAGGCAAAGGAAGUUCAUUUAUCACUAGGUUGACCCUCUUUCCCCCGCCCCGUAGAUGCACUCCAGACCCUCCACCACUGAGCCUAAUUCUGGAGAAGUCAUCAUGCUACUCAGGGUGCAUUUCCCUAGCUGAUGCUAUGAGGAUCUUCUCUGAGAGAUUCCACAGGCUUCCAGUUCUACUGCAGACAUGAUCUUUUCUGCCUUUCUCUUCAAUUUUAAAGAUUGACCUGGCUUCAGAGACCUGCUGCCCUGAUGUGCUGUCUACAACGGCGUAGGAAUAGUCUGCAAAUUUGAGUCAUCACCGAUUUUUGCUUUGUGGCCCUUCCUUCCUUCCUUCCUUCCUUCCUUCCUUCCUUCCUUCCUUCCUUCCUUCCGUCCUUCCUUCCCUCCUUAUGCAGCUUUGCAAUCAGUUAAACCAUCUAUGAAAUUGCAAUGACCUAAUGCAUCAUUUAGGCAUAAACACAUUUUGGCUCAGAAAUUAUUUCUCAAAGCCUCUUUUUUGAGUUGUCACUUCAGCACAUAUUCCUGUCAAGCACUGUCCUCUUACUGAUUCUUAAUUUCUUUUGAGGCAGCCAGAGAUAGUAGUUACCUCUUCACCAAAGGAGAAACCAUAGGGGAAAAUGACCCGGUGAGGACUGCUGGUUUUCCAUUCUUCGGUUCAAUCACUUCGGUUCAUCGGGGAAAUAAAACUGUCAGCACAACAUCUCUGGGCA